GAUGAACGCUGGCGGCGUGCCUAAUACAUGCAAGUCGAGCGAACGGACGAGAAGCUUGCUUCUCUGAUGUUAGCGGCGGACGGGUGACUAACACGUGGAUAACCUACCUAUAAGACUGGGAUAACUUCGGGAAACCGGAGCUAAUACCGGAUAAUAUUUUGAACCGCAUGGUUCAAAAGUGAAAGACGGUCUUGCUGUCACUUAUAGAUGGAUCCGCGCUGCAUUAGCUAGUUGGUAAGGUAACGGCUUACCAAGGCAACGAUGCAUAGCCGACCUGAGAGGGUGAUCGGCCACACUGGAACUGACACACGGUCCAGACUCCUACGGGAGGCAGCAGUAGGGAAUCUUCCGCAAUGGGCGAAAGCCUGACGGAGCAACGCCGCGUGAGUGAUGAAGGUCUUCGGAUCGUAAAACUCUGUUAUUAGGGAAGAACAUAUGUGUAAGUAACUGUGCACAUCUUGACGGUACCUAAUCAGAAAGCCACGGCUAACUACGUG
rnacentral:rRNA from 1 species